ACUAUUGUGAACAAUGAGAGUGUAGAGAUCAUUCGCAUGUUGAAUACCGAAUGCAAUGAAAUAGAAGAGAAUCCUUCCUUGGAAUCGCCGGAAUUCAACACAACGCCUUCUACAUGCACCGCGCUUUGUUAGUGGUGGAGGCGAACGGUGUCUUCAUGGUGUUAAAGGAAGACAACAUGUGAAAUUUGUUUACGAGUCCAUGUUUCUUUCCCUGAAGCAAUGGAAUCUAUACAGAAGCAAAAGCGAUUAAGGAAAGGAAUAAAAUGGUGCUAUACCUGCCAGAUUAGAAUGAAGUAGGGUGAUGGAUGAGCGCACGAUAUCAUGAGUAUGUAAUUCAUAAAGGCAAAACUCAGAUAUUUGUUGUUUGUAAAGGAGAUGUUGAUUCACAACCAUUCAACUAAGAGAGAAUUAGUGACAGAACAUACAGUUGAAUGAUGUACAUUAAUUGCAGAGGAUUCCAUUGGAAGAAGCAUGGUUCAUAGAGAUUUUCCAGUAAUUAUUUCGAGUGUUGACAUGUAGACACCAUAUAUAAGAAUGGAUGUUAAGGGGUAAAUGGGUCAAUUUGAGACUUAUAACUAACUAACUAAUUGUG